rnacentral:lncRNA from 1 species
AUGUGGCUGCCUUUCUGCACAGGGCAAGCACCUGUGUGCGAACGUAUGUAUGUGUGCGCGUUCUACAUACACACUGCUUCAUACUGCCGUAAAUGGGUUUGAGGUUUGCAAAAUGGUCCCAUAAAUCAUUAAUUAAUGAUAAUACAAAUAUGAAUAAUGCAAGAGGCAGAAGGGCAAGAGUCACCACUCCAUCUUCAACACCAUCUCGGAUGCUUGGAUAAGCAAUGUGCCCACAGUAGUCUCCCCUGCCAAGAGCACCAUUACAUACAGAAAUGCUGAAGAAUCACAAAAAGGUUGCAGUAUGAUCCAUGGGAGAUGGAAGGCCUUCAUCAAUAGCAGGCUAAUGCAGAUGACUUUAACCCUUUAAGUCCUUCUGUCUGUUCAGACUCCCCAGUUCCUGUUUCCUCAGAAGUGGUCCAUGGAAUUAUAAGAUACUGCUGCAUCCUGCUGUUAGAAACUGAACUGCAACUGAUACAAUGUUGAGAGAGGAGGUGAGCUGGAGGGGGUCAUUCCUGCUGUACAAGGAUCAAAUGCCAUAAACAGCCCAGAGUGUGACUGUGCUUCGCCUGUGCCCUUUUAAUUGCGCCCGUUAAAGCACACAUUAAACACGCAAUCCCUGUGACCAAAGGCUAAUUUCCCUAAGAGCAAUGGAGAUAAUAAAUCUCAUUGUUGGCGUUAAGGGUGACUGAAGAAUCUGCUUCAUGUGCCUGCCAAUAUGCUACCGGAGCAAUGCCACAGAGCUGAGGUUUGCUGGCUUCUUCCAGAGAGGAAGAAAAAUGAAGAGAGAAGACAUGUAAAAUCGUGCUGCAGCCUGUACUGCUGGGGCAGGUUACUUUUACCAGGGAGGAAGAGGAGGGAAAAAUAAAGAAGAAAAAAAAAAAAAAAGAAAACAGGAAAAGAGCCACCAAUGGUUCAAGCAAUGAAUCAAG